CCGCUGCAGCGGGAUCGAUGCUUGUCUGAGGGUUUGUCUUUUAGGGUCUGGCCCAUGUAAGUGGCAAUGAGAGUCAGGUCCUACGCAACGGGAGAUCAUGAACCCCGCCAGGUCCGGAAGGAAGCAGCGGUAAGUGGUUGCCCCCGUGUGCCGUAGGGGUGCCUGAGUUGAGUUAACUGCAUGGGUAACGCUUGGAAGGGAAAUUCGAGGGCAGGUGCGCGG
rnacentral:SRP_RNA from 1 species